rnacentral:rRNA from 1 species
UACGGAGGGGGCUAGCGUUGUUCGGAAUUACUGGGCGUAAAGGGCUCGUAGGCGGCCAACUAAGUCAGACGUGAAAUCCCUCGGCUUAACCGGGGAACUGCAUCUGAUACUGGAUGGCUUGAGUUCGGGAGAGGGAUGCGGAAUUCCUGGUGUAGCGGUGAAAUGCGCAGAUAUCAGGAGGAACACCGGUGGCGAAGGCGGUGGUCUGGGCCGGCACUGACGCUGAGGAGCGAAAGCGUGGGUAGCAAACAGG